UUGGUUAAGUUAGAAAGGGCGCACGGUGGAUGCCUUGGCACUAGGAGCCGAAGAAGGACGGGACUAACACCGAUAUGCUUUGGGGAGCUGUACGUAAGCGUUGAUCCAGAGAUUUCCGAAUGGGGGAACCCACUAUCUUUAGUCGGAUAGUAUCCUUACGUGAAUACAUAGCGUGAGGAAGGCAGACCCAGGGAACUGAAACAUCUAAGUACCUGGAGGAAGAGAAAGAAAAAUCGAUUUCCUGAGUAGCGGCGAGCGAAACGGAAAGAGCCCAAACCAAGAAGCUUGCUUCUUGGGGUUGUAGGACACUCUAUACGGAGUUACAAAAGAAAGUUAUAAAUGAAGCGGUCUGGAAAGGCCCGCCAAAGACGGUAACAGCCCGGUAGUUGAAAUAGCUUUCCCUCCAGAGUGGAUCCUGAGUACGGCGGAACACGUGAAAUUCCGUCGGAAUCCGGGAGGACCAUCUCCCAAGGCUAAAUACUCCCUAGUGACCGAUAGUGAACCAGUACCGUGAGGGAAAGGUGAAAAGCACCCCGGAAGGGGAGUGAAACAGUUCCUGAAACCGUGUGCCUACAAGUAGUUAGAGCCCGUUAAUGGGUGAUAGCGUGCCUUUUGUAGAAUGAACCGGCGAGUUACGAUUUGUUGCAAGGUUAAGCGGAAAAAGCGGAGCCGUAGCGAAAGCGAGUCUGAAUAGGGCGCAUAAGUAACAGGUCGUAGACCCGAAACCAGGUGAUCUACCCAUGUCCAGGAUGAAGGUAAGGUAAUACUUACUGGAGGUCCGAACCCACGCACGUUGAAAAGUGCGGGGAUGAGGUGUGGGUAGCGGAGAAAUUCCAAUCGAACUUGGAGAUAGCUGGUUCUCUCCGAAAUAGCUUUAGGGCUAGCCUCGAGGUAAAGAGUCAUGGAGGUAGAGCACUGUUUGGACUAGGGGCCCUUCUCGGGUUACCGAAUUCAGAUAAACUCCGAAUGCCAUGUACUUAUACUCGGGAGUCAGACUGCGAGUGAUAAGAUCCGUAGUCGAAAGGGAAACAGCCCAGACCACCAGUUAAGGUCCCCAAAUAUAUGUUAAGUGGAAAAGGAUGUGGGGUUGCUUAGACAACCAGGAUGUUGGCUUAGAAGCAGCCACCAUUGAAAGAGUGCGUAAUAGCUCACUGGUCGAGUGACCCCGCGCCGAAAAUGUACCGGGGCUAAACAUAUUACCGAAACUGUGGAUGAACCUCUUUAGAGGUUCGUGGUAGGAGAGCGUUCUAAGGGCGGUGAAGUCAGACCGGAAGGACUGGUGGAGCGCUUAGAAGUGAGAAUGCCGGUAUGAGUAGCGAAAGAAGGGUGAGAAUCCCUUCCACCGAAUAUCUAAGGUUUCCUGAGGAAGGCUCGUCCGCUCAGGGUUAGUCGGGACCUAAGCCGAGGCCGAUAGGCGUAGGCGAUGGACAACAGGUAGAGAUUCCUGUACCAGUGCUAAUUGUUUAACCGAUGGGGUGACACAGAAGGAUAGGGAAUCGCACGAAUGGAAAUGUGCGUCCAAGCAGUGAGUGUGAGAAGUAGGCAAAUCCGCUUCUCGCGAAGCAUGAGCUGUGAUGGGGAAGGAAAUUAAGUACGGAAGUUCCUGAUUUCACGCUGUCAAGAAAAGCCUCUAGGAAGAGUAGUACUGCCCGUACCGCAAACCGACACAGGUAGAUGAGGAGAGAAUCCUAAGGUGAGCGAGAGAACUCUCGUUAAGGAACUCGGCAAAAUGACCCCGUAACUUCGGGAGAAGGGGUGCUCUAUUAGGGUGCAAGCCCGAGAGAGCCGCAGUGAAUAGGCCCAGGCGACUGUUUAGCAAAAACACAGGUCUCUGCAAAACCGUAAGGUGACGUAUAGGGGCUGACGCCUGCCCGGUGCUGGAAGGUUAAGAGGAGUGCUUAGCUUCGGCGAAGGUACGAAUUGAAGCCCCAGUAAACGGCGGCCGUAACUAUAACGGUCCUAAGGUAGCGAAAUUCCUUGUCGGGUAAGUUCCGACCCGCACGAAAGGCGCAACGAUCUGGGCACUGUCUCAACGAGAGACUCGGUGAAAUUAUAGUACCUGUGAAGAUGCAGGUUACCCGCGACAGGACGGAAAGACCCCGUGGAGCUUUACUGCAACCUGAUAUGGAAUGUUUGUACCGCUUGUACAGGAUAGGUAGGAGCCGAAGAGACGUGUGCGCUAGCAUACGAGGAGGCAAUGGUGGGAUACUACCCUGGCUGUAUGACCAUUCUAACCCGCCACGCUUAGCGCGUGGGGAGACAGU
rnacentral:rRNA from 1 species